rnacentral:misc_RNA from 1 species
AAUUAUCAAAGCAAAUAUUUUCGUUAAUUCGACUGCCUUUGCUUUGGACUUGGGGGCCUGCAGAUUUCACAGUCUGCUCCUCUUAAAUGCAUCAGCUGGAUUCUCGGUGAGCUCGGUUCCACUCGGCGUGAUAAGUAUCACUCGCUGAGGACGCCCGUUAAAAAAGGUGGCCAGGCUCGCAGAUGAACUGCUUCCAACGGUCUAUUGACUUAGACAAUGAAUUUACG